rnacentral:rRNA from 1 species
UGGCGGCGUGCCUAAUACAUGCAAGUCGAACGCUUCUUUUCCCACCGGAGCUUGCUCCACCGGGAAAAGAGGAGUGGCGAACGGGUGAGUAACACGUGGGUAACCUGCCCAUCAGAAGGGGAUAACACUUGGAAACAGGUGCUAAUACCGUAUAACAAUCGAAACCGCAUGGUUUCGUUUUGAAAGGCGCUUUACGGUGCCGCUGAUGGAUGGACCCGCGGUGCAUUAGCUAGUUGGUGAGGUAACGGCUCACCAAGGCCACGAUGCAUAGCCGACCUGAGAGGGUGAUCGGCCACAUUGGGACUGAGACACGGCCCAAACUCCUACGGGAGGCAGCAGUAGGGAAUCUUCGGCAAUGGACGAAAGUCUGACCGAGCAACGCCGCGUGAGUGAAGAAGGUUUUCGGAUCGUAAAACUCUGUUGUUAGAGAAGAACAAGGGUGAGAGUAACUGUUCACCCCUUGACGGUAUCUAACCAGAAAGCCACGGCUAACUACGUGCCAGCAGCCGCGGUAAUACGUAGGUGGCAAGCGUUGUCCGGAUUUAUUGGGCGUAAAGCGAGCGCAGGCGGUUUCUUAAGUCUGAUGUGAAAGCCCCCGGCUCAACCGGGGAGGGUCAUUGGAAACUGGGAGACUUGAGUGCAGAAGAGGAGAGUGGAAUUCCAUGUGUAGCGGUGAAAUGCGUAGAUAUAUGGAGGAACACCAGUGGCGAAGGCGGCUCUCUGGUCUGUAACUGACGCUGAGGCUCGAAAGCGUGGGGAGCAAACAGGAUUAGAUACCCUGGUAGUCCACGCCGUAAACGAUGAGUGCUAAGUGUUGGAGGGUUUCCGCCCUUCAGUGCUGCAGCUAACGCAUUAAGCACUCCGCCUGGGGAGUACGACCGCAAGGUUGAAACUCAAAGGAAUUGACGGGGGCCCGCACAAGCGGUGGAGCAUGUGGUUUAAUUCGAAGCAACGCGAAGAACCUUACCAGGUCUUGACAUCCUUUGACCACUCUAGAGAUAGAGCUUCCCCUUCGGGGGCAAAGUGACAGGUGGUGCAUGGUUGUCGUCAGCUCGUGUCGUGAGAUGUUGGGUUAAGUCCCGCAACGAGCGCAACCCUUAUUGUUAGUUGCCAUCAUUUAGUUGGGCACUCUAGCAAGACUGCCGGUGACAAACCGGAGGAAGGUGGGGAUGACGUCAAAUCAUCAUGCCCCUUAUGACCUGGGCUACACACGUGCUACAAUGGGAAGUACAACGAGUCGCGAAGUCGCGAGGCUAAGCUAAUCUCUUAAAGCUUCUCUCAGUUCGGAUUGUAGGCUGCAACUCGCCUACAUGAAGCCGGAAUCGCUAGUAAUCGCGGAUCAGCACGCCGCGGUGAAUACGUUCCCGGGCCUUGUACACACCGCCCGUCACACCACGAGAGUUUGUAACACCCGAAGUCGGUGAGGUAACCUUUUGGAGCCAG